rnacentral:rRNA from 1 species
UAGUGGCGAACGGGUGAGUAACACGUGGGCAAUCUGCCCUGCACUCUGGGACAAGCCCUGGAAACGGGGUCUAAUACCGGAUACGACCACUUCAGGCAUCUGAUGGUGGUGGAAAGCUCCGGCGGUGCAGGAUGAGCCCGCGGCCUAUCAGCUUGUUGGUGAGGUAACGGCUCACCAAGGCGACGACGGGUAGCCGGCCUGAGAGGGCGACCGGCCACACUGGGACUGAGACACGGCCCAGACUCCUACGGGAGGCAGCAGUGGGGAAUAUUGCACAAUGGGCGAAAGCCUGAUGCAGCGACGCCGCGUGAGGGAUGACGGCCUUCGGGUUGUAAACCUCUUUCAGCAGGGAAGAAGCGAAAGUGACGGUACCUGCAGAAGAAGCGCCGGCUAACUACGUGCCAGCAGCCGCGGUAAUACGUAGGGCGCAAGCGUUGUCCGGAAUUAUUGGGCGUAAAGAGCUCGUAGGCGGCCUGUCACGUCGGUUGUGAAAGCCCGGGGCUUAACCCCGGGUCUGCAGUCGAUACGGGCAGGCUAGAGUUCGGUAGGGGAGAUCGGAAUUCCUGGUGUAGCGGUGAAAUGCGCAGAUAUCAGGAGGAACACCGGUGGCGAAGGCGGAUCUCUGGGCCGAUACUGACGCUGAGGAGCGAAAGCGUGGGGAGCGAACAGGAUUAGAUACCCUGGUAGUCCACGCCGUAAAC